rnacentral:lncRNA from 1 species
GAGUUUUGCACGGUGUACUAGUUCAACCUUCAGAUACCUCAGCUGGUGAGCACUUUGAGCCAAAUGAAUUCCACGGUAUACUAUUUCUUUCACAUCUUAUGAGUGUAUCCAUGAUUUGUAUAUUUUCUAGAACUUGCGACUAUUCUCUAUUGUUGAUUGGUUUUACAUUUACACACAUAGAGGCACAUUUGUUUGGUACCCUGAGCCUUUUCAAGCUACCCUGUUAUUAUAUAUCUGUUGCUAAACCACUUUGAGCCAAAAAAAAAUAAAUAAUAAUAUCCCCUUUCUUUCGGUGACUAACUCAAUUAUAAGCCUUUUAGACCUGAAAUUUUUUAUCUGUUUACCCUUCUUGGAGUUAGGUAGAAGCUUUAAAUUUCCUUGUCAUGGUAUCAUUUUAAGUUUGAGGUUGCUUCUGGAAUUAGCAACAUCUUAAGUUUGGGGUAGGGGUACUAGAGAACUAAAAAAAAAAGAAAUAGUAAUAAUAGAGACUCACAAAAAAAUAAUUGAGUUUCUUAAAAAAAAAAGGAGAAUAAAAAAGAAUAAAGAGCCAUUAAGCAUGAAAAAUAGUGGCAUCUUCGAAG